rnacentral:misc_RNA from 1 species
GAUGAAGAACGUAGCGAAAUGCGAUAAGUAAUGUGAAUUGCAGAAUUCAGUGAAUCAUCGAAUCUUUGAACGCACAUUGCGCCCGCCAGUAUUCUGGCGGGCAUGCCUGUUCGAGCGUCAUUACAACCCUCAGGCCCCCGGGCCUGGCGUUGGGGAUCGGCGGAAGCCCCCUGCGGGCACAACGCCGUCCCCCAAAUACAGUGGCGAUCCCGCCGCAGCUUCCAUUGCGUAGUAGCUAACACCUCGCAACUGGAGAGCGGCGCGGCCACGCCGUAAAACACCCAACUUCUGAAUGUUGACCUCGAAUCAGGUAGGAAUACCCGCUGAACUUAAGCAUAUCAAUAAGCGGAGGA